rnacentral:rRNA from 1 species
GACGAACGCUGGCGGCGUGCUUAACACAUGCAAGUCGAACGGAAAGGCCUCUUUCGGGGGGUACUCGAGUGGCGAACGGGUGAGUAACACGUGAGUAACCUGCCCUUUACUUUGGGAUAACUUCAGGAAACUGGGGCUAAUACCGGAUAGGAGCUCCUGCUGCAUGGUGGGGGUUGGAAAGUUUCGGCGGUUGGGGAUGGACUCGCGGCUUAUCAGCUUGUUGGUGGGGUAGUGGCUUACCAAGGCUUUGACGGGUAGCCGGGCUGGGAGGGUGACCGGCCACAUUGGGGCUGAGAUACGGCCCAGACUCCUACGGGAGGCAGCAGUGGGGAAUAUUGCACCAUGGGUCGAAGCCUGAUGCAGCAACGCCGUGUGCGGGAUGACGGCCUUCGGGUUGUAAACCGCUUUCGCUCAUGACGAAGCUUUGUGUGACGGUAGUGGGUAAAGAAGCACCGGCUAACUACGUG